AUUGAACGCUGGCGGCAGGCCUAACACAUGCAAGUCGAGCGGAUGAAGGGAGCUUGCUCCUGGAUUCAGCGGCGGACGGGUGAGUAAUGCCUAGGAAUCUGCCUGGUAGUGGGGGAUAACGUCCGGACACGGGCGCUAAUACCGCAUACGUCGUGAGGUAGAAAGUGGGGGAUCUUCGGACCUCACGCUAUCAGAUGAGCCUAGGUCGGAUUAGCUAGUUGGUGGGGUAAAGGCCUACCAAGGCGACGAUCCGUAGCUGGUCUGAGAGGAUGAUCAGUCACACUGGAACUGAGACACGGUCCAGACUCCUACGGGAGGCAGCAGUGGGGAAUAUUGGACAAUGGGCGAAAGCCUGAUCCAGCCAUGCCGCGUGUGUGAAGAAGGUCUUCGGAUUGUAAAGCACUUUAAGUUGGGAGGAAGGGCAGUAAGUUAAUACCUUGCUGUUUUGACGUUACCAACAGAAUAAGCACCGGCUAACUUCGUG
rnacentral:rRNA from 1 species